rnacentral:rRNA from 1 species
GGCGUAAGAGCUCGUAGGCGGCUUGUCACGUCGGAUGUGAAAGACACGGGGCUUAACCCCGGGUCUGCAUUCGAUACGGGCUAGCUAGAGUGUGGUAGGGGAGAUCGGAAUUCCUGGUGUAGCGGUGAAAUGCGCAGAUAUCAGGAGGAACACCG